GUGGUCGUAGCUCAAUGGCAGAGCAGCAGCCUGAUAAUCUGCGGACACGGGUUCGAUUCCCGUCGGCCACC
rnacentral:tRNA from 1 species